rnacentral:other from 2 species
GUUAUGCUAAGAAAUCGCAUACCCAUAAAUCAAUGAUUUCCCACCUGAGUGAAACAACGAAUUGCUGUGUAGUCUUUGCCCAUCUCCCACGAUGGGCUUUUUUUAUC